rnacentral:lncRNA from 1 species
GCUUGAAUAAAACUUACACCAGUCAUGACAUGGGAGCAACCUGAAUGUCCAUUGACUGAUGAAUGGAUGAAAAAAAUAUGGGAUAUACAUCCAAAAAAGAUUAUUCAGGCUUAAAAAGGAAGGAGAUUCUGCCAUUUUUAACAAAAUGAAUUAACCAGGAGGACAUUGUGAAGAGAUGAAGAUCCUCAGGGCUGGAGGAGAGAGAGAAGCAGAAUGGUAAAGCAAGAUUGAGGCUAUCGUGAGCAUCCUUCAUAUAAUGCCUUGAACUCAACUCCGGACAAGUCAAGUACCAUGGUGAAGGCAAACUGAGCCUCCAUUUCUGAAAUCAGAAGAACCCAAGCUGGUAAGCAUAGCAGAGUCCCUCUACAUUGCCAUGGUGCUAUAGCAGGAAGGCAGAGAAGCUAUGUCUAGAUAGACAGAGCCUGAGACAGCCCACUGAGGGCAUUGAAAAGAUCCUUAUGUCCCUUUGAGAGGAGGCUGAAAUAGCUGAUGAGAGCUGGUUGACCCGGAAAAGUCUCGUGGACAAGGCCCAGGGUGAUCUCUUCUCACUAUGCAUCUUAUGUUAUUACUAUGCACACGCUACCUUGGGACUCCUGUUGGCUCAGGAUACACAAGUAAUAAUCGGCUGUGUAGUGUAAUGAUUAAAAGAAUCAGUGUGGAGUCAAUAUGUCCAGUCUAAUUCCUAGCCUUACCUUGUACUAGCUGGG